rnacentral:rRNA from 1 species
UAGCAUCCUGUCACCAGGUAGCCGCCUUCUGUACCCCCCAUUGUAACACGUGUGUAGCCCCGGACGUAAGGGCCGUGCUGAUUUGACGUCAUCCCCACCUUCCUCACAUCUUACGACGGCAGUCUCUCUAGAGUCCUCAGCAUAACCUGUUAGUAACUAAAGAUAAGGGUUGCGCUCGUUAUGGCACUUAAGCCGACACCUCACGGCACGAGCUGACGACAACCAUGCAGCACCUUCACAACAGCCUUACGGCUAUACUGUUUCCAAUAUAUUCUGUUGCAAUUUAAGCCCGGGUAAGGUUCCUCGCGUAUCAUCGAAUUAAACCACAUGUUCCUCCGCUUGUGCGGGCCCCCGUCAAUUCCUUUGAGUUUCACCGUUGCCGGCGUACUCCCCAGGUGGAAUACUUAAUGCUUUCGCUUGGCCGCUUACUGUAUAUCGCAAACAGCGAGUAUUCAUCGUUUACUGUGUGGACUACCAGGGUAUCUAAUCCUGUUUGAUACCCACACUUUCGAGCAUCAGUGUCAGUAACAGUCUAGUGAGCUGCCUUCGCAAUCGGAGUUCUUCGUGAUAUCUAAGCAUUUCACCGCUACACCACGAAUUCCGCCCACCUCUACUGUACUCAAGACUGCCAGUUUCAACUGCAAUUUUACGGUUGAGCCGCAAACUUUCACAACUGACUUAACAAUCCACCUACGCUCCCUUUAAACCCAAUAAAUCCGGAUAACGCUCGGAUCCUCCGUAUUACCGCGGCUGCUGGCACGGAGUUAGCCGAUCCUUAUUCAUAUGGUACAUACAAAAUUCCACACGUGGAAAACUUUAUUCCCAUAUAAAAGAAGUUUACGACCCAUAGAGCCUUCAUCCUUCACGCUACUUGGCUGGUUCAGGCUCUCGCCCAUUGACCAAUAUUCCUCACUGCUGCCUCCCGUAGGAGUUUGGACCGUGUCUCAGUUCCAAUGUGGGGGACCUUCCUCUCAGAACCCCUAUCCAUCGUAGUCUUGGUGGGCCGUUACCCCGCCAACAAACUAAUGGAACGCAUCCCCAUCGAUAACCGAAAUUCUUUAAUAAAAAUAUCAUGCGAUAUUCG